rnacentral:rRNA from 1 species
GAUGAACGCUAGCGGCAGGCUUAACACAUGCAAGUCGAGGGGCAUCGGGAGGGAAGCUUGCUUUCCUUGCCGGCGACCGGCGCACGGGUGAGUAACACGUAUCCAACCUGCCGAUGACUCGGGGAUAGCCUUUCGAAAGAAAGAUUAAUACCCGAUGGCAUAGUUCUUCCGCAUGGUAGGACUAUUAAAGAAUUUCGGUCAUCGAUGGGGAUGCGUUCCAUUAGCUUGUUGGCGGGGUAACGGCCCACCAAGGCAUCGAUGGAUAGGGGUUCUGAGAGGAAGGUCCCCCACAUUGGAACUGAGACACGGUCCAA